GCGAAUAUGGCGCAAUGGUGCGCUACCACUAGCAUUAAGUCGAAGAGAAACUGAAAAAGUGGUAGUUGAAUGGGUUCGAUUCCUGUUAUUCGUU